rnacentral:rRNA from 1 species
UGGGGAAUAUUGCACAAUGGGCGCAAGCCUGAUGCAGCCAUGCCGCGUGUAUGAAGAAGGCCUUCGGGUUGUAAAGUACUUUCAGCGAGGAGGAAGGCGUUGUGGUUAAUAACCGCAGCGAUUGACGUUACUCGCAGAAGAAGCACCGGCUAACUCCGUGCCAGCAGCCGCGGUAAUACGGAGGGUGCAAGCGUUAAUCGGGAUUACUGGGCGUAAAGCGCACGCAGGCGGUCUGUCAAGUCGGAUGUGAAAUCCCCGGGCUCAACCUGGGAACUGCAUCCGAAACUGGCAGGCUAGAGUCUUGUAGAGGGGGGUAGAAUUCCAGGUGUAGCGGUGAAAUGCGUAGAGAUCUGGAGGAAUACCGGUGGCGAAGGCGGCCCCCUGGACAAAGACUGACGCUCAGGUGCGAAAGCGUGGGGAGCAAACA